AUUGAACGCUGGCGGCAGGCCUAACACAUGCAAGUCGAACGAGUGGCGGACGGGUGAGUAAUGUCUGGGAAACUGCCUGAUGGAGGGGGAUAACUACUGGAAACGGUAGCUAAUACCGCAUACCAUCAGAUGUGCCCAGAUGGGAUUAGCUAGUUGGUGGGGUAACGGCUCACAAAGGCGACGAUCCCUAGCUGGUCUGAUAGGAUGACCAGCCAGUCUGGAACUGAGCCACGGUCCAGACUCCUACGGGAGGCAUCAGGGGGAAAUAUUGCACAGUGGGCGCAAGCCUGAGGCAGCCGUGCCGCGUGUAUGAAGAAGGCUUUCGGGUGGUAAAGUACUUUCAGCGGGGAGGCGUUACCCGCAGAAGAAGCACCGGCUAACGCCGUGCCAGCAGCCGCGGUAAUAC
rnacentral:rRNA from 1 species